rnacentral:tRNA from 1 species
CGGAUGUAUUCUAGUGGAUCAAGGCAGU